rnacentral:rRNA from 1 species
AGACAGUUCGGUUUAUAUCCGGUACGGACGUUAGGAAAUUUGAGAAGAUCUACCCCUAGUACGAGAGGACCGGGGCGGACGAACCUCUGGUGUAUCGAUUGUGGCCACCUGCUGCAUUGUCGAGUAGCUACGUUCGGAAUAGAUAAGUGCUGAAAGCAUAUUAAGCACGAAACUAACUUCAAGAUUAGAUUUCCCUAUGAGGACACAGAAAGACUAUCUGUUUGAUAGGCGCAAGGUGGAAGUACAGCAAUGUAUGGAGCUAAAGCGUACUAAUAGUCCCAUCGCCUUUUUAUG